CUUCAUGACUCACACACUUCCUCAAAUAAGCAACCUCACAGGCACCAUCUUCCUCAUGCGGAAUAUUCCAUUUUAACAGCGACAGGAACCGACGAAGAAAAUUCACAUUCCUGUAACGUGGUUUUGCCUCAGCAUGUCGUUUAUUUGGUGAAGGUUUAGACAUGAAGUCAAAGUUGAGCACAUCAGGAACACCCAGAGCCAGCAGCCUGCUCUCUAACUCCUGCCUGCUGAGGGUCUGCUUGCUGGGAGACUGCCUGAAACCCAAGUACUGUCAGCCUACAGCCACACCUCUCUGACAACGCCUGAUCCCGUCAGAUCUCAGAAGCUAAGCAGGGUCGGGCCUGACCAGUACUUGGAUGGGAGACCUCAGACGUCACCACCAGCCAUCCCUGCCUCUCAGUUCUCCUGCCACUGGACUUCACACACAUUCUCCCAACUCCCUUUUCCCCUGUUAUUAAUAAACUGUGGUUUGAGCGCAUUUGAUCUCCUCUCCUGUUUGGUCCCUGACAACAUCAACAGGAAUAUGAACAAUGCCCGUGUGCUAUUUUCAGCAGUAGAGAAGCUAACUAAUCCCCCACCACAAUUAGCACCUGAACUUCUCUCAGUUAAUAAAUGCAAUGAGUUUGCAUCCUUCUUCAAAGGUAAAAUUGAUCAAAUACGGCAGAAUAUUGCUCAUAAUAUAUCUCAGUGGGCGGCACGGUGGUGUAGUGGUUAGCGCUGUCGCCUCACAGCAAGAAGGUCUGGGUUCGAGCCCCGU